ensembl:lncRNA
CAAAGACCAGUACAACAUCGAGUGUUAGUUCAACAAAGACCAGUACAACAUCGAGUGUUAGUUCAACAAAGACCAGUACAACAUUGAGUGUUAGUUCAACAAAGACCAGUACAACAUUGAGUGUUAGUUCAACAAAGACCAGUACAACAUCGAGUGUUAGUUCAACAAAGACCAGUACAACAUCGAGUGUUAGUUCAACAAAGACCAGUACAACAUCGAGUGUUAGUUCAACAAAGACCAGUACAACAUCAAGUGUUAGUUCAACAAAGACCAGUACAACAUCAAGUGUUAGUUCAACAAAGACCAGUACAACAUCAAGUGUUAGUUCAACAAAGACCAGUACAACAUCGAGUGUUAGUUCAACAAAGACCAGUACAACAUCAAGUGUUAGUUCAACAAAGACCAGUACAACAUCGAGUGUUAGUUCAACAAAGACCAGUACAACAUCAAGUGUUAGUUCAACAAAGACCAGUACAACAUCAAGUGUUAGUUCAACAAAGACCAGUACAACAUCUGUGAGCUGCUUGUGCUGACAGUUUGAGUUGACACAUUUCCAUGGGUUUAUUCUGGUGGUUCGUUCUCUCAGGCUCAGCUCUGUUCUCCAACCAACCUUGUAAAACUGUUUUUCUAAAAUGACUCUUUGCAGGGAAAUACUGUAUGGAUUCUACUGAGUGGACAAAACAUUAAGAACACCUGCUCUUUCCAUGACAGACUGACCAGGUGAAUCCAGGUGAAAGCUAUGAUCCCUUAUUGAGGUCACAUGUUAAAUCCACUUCCAUCAGUGUAGAUGAAGUGGAGGAGACGAGUUAAAGAAGGAUUUUUAAACAUUAAGACAAUUGAGACAUGGAUUGUGUGUGUGCCAUUCAGAGGAUGAAUGGGCAAGACAAAAAAUAUACAUUAGGAAGGUGUUCCUAAUGUUUGGUAUAGUCAGAGUACAGUUACAGACUACUUUAUACAUUUUCAAAAUGGUUUACUUCACAAAAAGUGAGUUUAUCGUCCAUUUUCGGGACUAAAUCCUUGCGACAACAAUAGGCUACAGUCAGUGAUUACUAGGGCUGAGUCCCAAACGGCACCCCAUCACAAUGUGGUGAUGGGCCCAUAGGACUCUGGUCAAAAGUAGUGCACUACGUAGGGAAAAGGGCGUCUUUUUGAACAUAGACUUUGUCAGAGAUGACUAGGUUCUCCAGACCAUCAGCAUCCUCAUAUUGUCCAGUGGCUGGGGUGGAGGUCAGUGGUCAGGCCGUGGUCAUCAUACCAGGGUGAGAAAUAGCAG